rnacentral:rRNA from 2 species
AACGAACGCUGGCGGCAGGCUUAACACAUGCAAGUCGAGCGCCCCGCAAGGGGAGCGGCAGACGGGUGAGUAACGCGUGGGAAUCUACCAUUUGCUACGGAACAACAGUUGGAAACGACUGCUAAUACCGUAUGUGCCCUUCGGGGGAAAGAUUUAUCGGCAAAUGAUGAGCCCGCGUUGGAUUAGCUAGUUGGUGGGUAAAGGCCUACCAAGGCGACGAUCCAUAGCUGGUCUGAGAGGAUGAUCAGCCACACUGGGGACUGAGACACGGGCCCAGACUCCUACGGGGAGCAGCAGUGGGGAAUAUGGGACAAUGGGGCNCAAGCCUGAUCCAGCCAUGCCG